UUUAAUUAAAGAUAAUUCAUUGCAUAAUAAUUAAUGAAAAAGAAAGAAACAAAAGAUAUACUCUACAUUCAAAGACAAAGAAAUUUAAAUUCUUGGCCGCCACGUAAAAAAACAAGCAGAAAAAACCAAUCUGUUGUAGUCUAUAUUAAUAUCAAAUUUGAUGUAGCUAUUUGCAUUCUUUGGCAUUUCUUAGUUUCCUGAUGAAGACUUGUACAAAGAAAGUUGAAAAAACGUGAGAAAGGUCACGCAUUCCCCCCAUUAAUCCCCUUAAUUCCUAGCCAUCAUCGGUCCAACCCAUUCAUUUUUAGUGAUACACGGAAAUUGAAUAGAGAAAGUUGUUCUCAUCAGCUCGUUUUCCUCCUCAGUUUUAAUUUUGGUUCAAUUUCCAAGGAGGAAAAAAACACACAGGCAUUGCAGGAAACUUGGGGUUGAAAUAAAGCUGAGAAGUUUAGAGUAUGAACGGUGGUGAUUAAGCUUUGAGCUGACUUGAGGGGAUGAUUAAAUGAGAGGCAUGGUGUUC
rnacentral:lncRNA from 1 species